UCUUCGGAUCCAGCGCAUGAAUUUGUUUACAAAGUAACUGUAUGGAAAUAUGAGUUGAGUGGGAUUAAGUGUUUAAACUAUUUCAUGCGCAAGCGGAAAAAAAAGAGCAAACAUAGUUCAGCAACGAUGGUGCAUGAUGCACAAUCUAUGGUCACUUAGAGCAUCUUCAAGAGUUUGCCAAAAUUAACUUAGCAAAUCUUGUGAUUUGGCAACUUGCUAAAAUAUAUGCCAAGUUAAAAAAAAGGCUAUCUCCAAGAGUUUGUCAUUUGGACUUGGUAAAACUAAAAAUCAGGCCCACCAAAAUUACCGGAUCAACUACUGUCGCUUCACAUCCCGUCGCCGUUCCAUCUUGCGCCGCGCGCCGGUGGCCAUCAUCUACUCCGGCCGGCCAUCUCCUCCUCCCAUCAGAAAAUCGUCUUGAUCUCCUGCCUCCAGCCGCCAAUCAUAUUCUUUACAGCACGCCAUUGAUGAGAGGAACAAAGCGGCACGAUCGGUUUUGCUUCUGCACCUUCCUCGAUCGAUUUCUUUGACGCUUGCUCAUAAUCAAUUAGAAGACAAGAAAUGGAAGGAAACGAUUCAGGCUAGUUGGCACCUGAGCGUCAGCCGGCCGGCCGUUGGUUGAGUGGAUGGCGGCGGCGGCAUCCCCAUGUCCCGCGCCGUCGCGAACCCCCUCCUGGUGGAGGCGGAGGCGGACCCGUACGUACACCGCCCUCCGCGCCGUGCCGUUGAGCGUCGUUCUGGCCGACGUUGGCGGUGGCGGCGAGGAAGUGCUAGCCGGAGAAUGAGUCGCGCGGGAGAAGGACGUCCGGGAGACGCGCCGGAGAAGGACGACGGGGAGACGCGCGGGAGGAGUCCGCGGCACAAGAAACACUGAUGGAGAGCCGGAUACGCGUGCGCAUAUUUGCGCGUCGAGGACCACUUUUUGCCAACUUUCUAAAAUUUGCCAAGUAGUAUGCAAAACUGUUGGAGACAUGUUUUUUGUGUUUUUCCAAAAAAAACAAGGAUGGCAACCUAAUUUGACAAACUGUUGGAGAUGCUCUAACUACUACUUGUGGUUUAAAUUCUAAAUCAUCAUCUCAUUGUUUCCCUUGUGUACAAA